CUGGUGAAAACAACAGUACUGGGAGUUAGUAGUGUAGCUACAUUCUGCAUAAUGCACCAAAUGCAAAGGAAAGGGCUGUAGGAUGUUUUUAUCCCAACUAUACAGUUAUUGUUGGGACGGUUUGCAAUGUCUUGAACCCCAAAAAAGUAGUUGAGCUUAAUAUUUGCUAACAAUAUGCUAGCAUCAACAUGAGGUAACACCAAAUAACUGCAUUUAGACAAACACUUAGGACUCCGGCCAAAAGGUCAUGACAAACAAUUAAGACUCCGGCCAAAAGGUCAUGACAAACAAUUAAGACUCCGGCCAAAAGGUCAUGACUAACAUUAAGACUCCAGCCAAAAGGUCAUGACAGUACCAGAUGACAAAAAUUAAAACUUUUUGUAGUAGUGUCCAGCAAAUCACAUCAAACAUGUAAGUUGAGAUUAUAAAUUGUGUAAUGAGGCAAUACAAACAACUGUAGCUCAUCGAGAGUGCAAGGGCAUGGAAAUAACUCAUUUACUAUUGUAUAUACAGCACAACAGAGAAGAUGUAAAGGAAUGAAAUGCUUUGAGAGCAC
rnacentral:lncRNA from 1 species